GACUCUCGACAACAGAUAUAUCGCUCUAACAUCGAUGAAGAACAUAGCAAAAUGCGAUACAUGGUGUGAAUUGUAGAAUCCCGUGAACCAUAGAGUAUUUGAACACAAGUUGCGCCCGAAGAUAUUAAGCCGAGGGCACGUCUGCCUGGGCGUCA